UCCUGGAUAGCUCAGUGGCAGAGCGUCCGGCUGUUAACCGGAAUGUCGCAGGUUCGACCCCUGCUCCAGGAG
rnacentral:tRNA from 1 species